rnacentral:lncRNA from 1 species
AUAAGGUUUACAAGGGGCUAGGGGUGCAUUUGAUUUGCAAUAUUUGCUGAAAAUUAUGUUAAAAAAAGAUAGUCUUUUGGGAUUGAAGGGAGUGAACAAAAAAGCAAAAAGGCAAUCAUCAAGGGUCGCCUAGCUAAAUGGAAGCUGUAGAUUGUCUCUUCAAGAAACUAAAUUUGAACCUAUGUUUGUUAACAUGAUGCAUGGCUUGUUGAAAGGUGGGGAUGUGGGCUGGUGUGGCUUACUUGUGGCGAGGAUUGCAGGUGGAUUUUAAGGAUGCGGGACGAUAGGAUAGUGGAACUUGUGGACUAAUAGAGGGGUGAUUGUGCUAUUUCUUUUGUUUCUAAAUUAAAAUGCCAUAGGGUUGUGCUAUUUGUUUAUGUGGGUUUGUUGUAAUGGGGUGGGAAGAGAGAAAGAGAGAUGGGGGCUUUAUUGAAUGAUUUGGCAACUGCUAGAUGGAAAUGGUGGAUUUUCCUUGGGCAAUUUGGGGUCACUUUAAAUUUUUUAUUUCUUUUGAAAGUGACUUUAACUUGGUUCGAAUGGGCAUGAGAAGUUCGGGAGAUCUUUUCUCUUAGGCUUUUGUGGAUGAAUUUCAGGCUUUUUUUGAUACUUGCGGCGUCAUUGAUUUUCCUCCCCAGCAUGGUAUUCCGGUGGUUUUCACAGUUUUAGAGUUGCAAGGAG